rnacentral:rRNA from 1 species
GACGAAGGUGGCUAGCGUUGUUCGGUAUCACUGGGCUUAAAGAGUGUGUAGGCGGAAAGGUAAGCGUCCUGUGAAAGCCCCCGGCUCAACCGGGGAAUUGCGAGACGAACUGCCUUUCUUGAGGCAAGUAGGGGUGCACGGAACUCUUGGUGGAGCGGUGGAAUGCGUAGAUAUCAAGAGGAACGCCGGUGGAGAAAUCGGUGCACUGGGCUUGUUCUGACGCUGAGACACGAAAGCGUGGGGAGCAAACGGG